rnacentral:lncRNA from 1 species
GUGAGAGUUAUCAAGUUCUAUAACGUUUUCGUUUCGCAUGGUUGUCCUUUUAUAAACAAAUCACUAAGAAAGUAAGAAGAUGAUAUCUGCAAGAUAGUAAGUGCUAUAAUAAAAGAAAAGAUAGUAAAAGUGUAAUAAAAAGUCAUGAUAAAUAAAACUCGUUUGAAAUUUCAUAAUGAAGUUUCAUAAAACUUUAUUUAAUAGAAACUAUAAUUAUAAACUCGUCUUUGCAAAAAAUGAAAUCUAAGCUCGUCUUUACAAAAAACUUAAUGGAACUUCUUUCGAGACGAUAGAUUUUGAAGUUUCAUAAAACUUUAUUUAAUAGAAAUUAUAAUGAUAUCAAUAAUUUAUGUAUUUUCAAUUUUAUAUAAUUCUGAUCAUGAGCAAAAGCGGAUAGGCUGUGAUUCUAGGAAGAAAGUUCACGAUGGGGUAUUGUAUUAGUCAAUCGUGUGUGCAUUUGUGGUAAAUCGAGACGAUCGUGAAAAAAACCCAAAGAAUCAGGUAUAUUGGUCGAUGGUCAUGAGUUUGAGUGCGAUCGCUAGUCACGAUCAUCGAGAUGGAUAAACCUCAAGGCCAAGAUAGUAAUUCAGAUCAAGUCUGGUGCGAGAAACAAUUGGAUUGUAUAUGCUAGGCGAGUCAUGGUUCAUGAGUGGAUUCACGAUGAGCAUGACUCAAGAUGUUGGUAAGCAUAGGGCUGAGAAGACAAGAGGGGCGGACCCAAAAAUUUGUUUAAAUAUGCGGCAUAAAUGUUAUAAACAUAAAAUAAAAAGAUAUUUUUUAAUAUUAAGCAUGUAGACGUUAUGUAAACCAAGUUAAAUAAAGGUAUUUAAACAAAUUUUAUACUGAAUUUUUAACAAAUAAAAAGAGAGUGUGGAGUACAUACCACACCUUACUUUUACAUGGGUCCGCCCCUGAAAACAAGCAGAAACAGAGUGGCUGUGAGGCUGAGUUAUUGGACUGGAGUGUAUGAGUAUUCAUGGCCGGUGGACUGGCGCGUCACUGCACAGUGUGAGGCAAAAGGCUGUGGGCUAAGUAUGAUAUUCUGGUUGACCUUGACAUGGUUAGUAAUUGACGAAGAAACUUCUAGUGUCCUGACCAUACUGAUGGUUGGAUGGAAGACUGAGCCGUUUUUCUUUGUUGCUUGGUCAUGUGGGGAUACUUGGUUAAGUGAAUAAGUAACAAGGAUAUGUGGUAAAGUAUUGUUCAAGUAGGACAAGAAAGUAUGGUGGCAACAAGAACGGGUCAAAAGGAUGAACGAGUAGACAAAUCAAGGUCGAAACAUUUUUAAGCAAAGAUAUAUGUUUAUAAAGAGUUAUUUUUGGGUUCAUCCCCUUAAGGUGAACUUCUAGGUUCACCGUCCAAUAGGAUUUCAUUAUUUUAAAUUCGAUAUCUUUUAAAAAAGGAAACAAAUUAUUGUCAAGUUAUAUUAUAUUUUUAAAAUAAAAAAGUAAAAAAAAUAGUAGUUACAGAAAAAAGAAAUUAAAAAAAAAUAUUUUUAACGUCGUCAGCAAAACACUAAACCCUAAAUCCUAAUCCCUAAACCCUAAAUCAUAAAUCCUAAAUCCUUGGGUAAACCCUAAACCCUUGGAUAAAUUUUAAACUCUAAAUAAAAACAAUAAAUCCUAAAACUCUAAACCAAAAACCUUUGAGUGUUUUAGUGUUUAGUGAUUUUAAUUUAGAGUUUAAGAUUUAUUCUAGAUUUUAGGGUUUACCCAAGGGUUUAGGGAUUAGAAUUUAGGAUUUAGGGAUUAGAAUUUAGAGUUUAAUGUUUUGCUGACGACAUUAAAAAUAUUUUUUUGUAAUUAUAACGAUUUUUUAUUUUAUUUUUUUUUACCUUUUAAUUUUAAAAAUAUAAUAUAAUUUGAUAAUAUUUUGUUUUUUUUAAAGAUAUCGAAUAUAAAAUAACACAAUCCUAUUGGUUGGUAAACCUAGAAGUUCACCAUAGAGAGUGAAUCUAAGAAUAAGACAUUUAUAAAUAGCUGCAAUCCCCUAUAUAUUAUUUGAGAAGCAUUGCAACAUUUUUUUGUAGCCAUGUGUCAUCACUAGAAGGAUUCUUAGAAUCCUUAAAGAAAUAGGUUGGUCCAUCUAAAUAUAUAAUAAGCUUUUUAUUAAACCACAAUAAAUACAUUAUUAAUAUGCUUCAUUAUUUCCUUAAAUAAGAUUAAGGAAUUGCCUAAUGUGGCUAAAGUAUAUAUGACAAUUAAUGAUUUUGAAUAAUAAAGAUUUGAUAAAAAUAAGUGUGUAUUAUAAUUAUAUUUGUUUAAUUUUAAGCUAUUAAAAUAAAUUAAAUUUAAUUAUAUAUCAUAUCAAAUAGAAAAAAUAUUUUUUCGAUAUAUAAAAUUUAUUUAUAUGUUCGUACCAAUUUAAUUGUAUAAGUAGUAGAUAAUGACUUUUUAAUUAUUCAAUAUAUAUUUAUUAUUUCAUAAUAUGUUAUAAACAUAUAAUAUAUAAAAUAAUUUAUAUAUAUGUUCAAUCCGCGCAAGGCGCGGACCUUAACCUAGUAACUUAGUAAUCUGCUAGGUUACUGGAUUAUAUUAAGGAAACAAUGAACUGAACCUCGUUAAGGAAUUAUGGUGGAAAAUAAAUCUAAAAAGGACUUCAGUUGGGUCGUGAAAAACAAUUCACGAUCUUAUGUGCAGUAAAGAAACCGGGUUGGGCCACAGGUAAAUUAUCUUGUGAAGUUGUGAUUCUUAUUUUAUUAUUUAUAAAUCUUAUAAUUCUGAUUCUUCCGAAUGAUUCCCUAUCUAUAUAGGUUUCGAAUGGUGACCAUCGUCCCGCUCUGCCCUGCAAUUAACAGUAACAAAAAUUUCUAUAUAUAUUAUAUAUUUAUACAUUUUUAUAACUGUUAAAACCGCAUCGCAGUUAAAUCACUUGUCCCGUACCGCUCAAACUGCAGUCACUAUUCGGAGCCAUAAUAUAAAUUCCCACCAAACACUUAAUGAUUGCAACUAACACACCUAACUAGCCUAGGCUCAAUUACACCACAAUUUCGUCCAGCAAUAAGGAGUCGACUAACAAUGCAAAUAAAAUUCACAAUUUGCAAAGCACAAAUUUCAAAUGGAGAUCGUGUGAAAAGCUCCAACAAAAGUGGCAGAAACAUUUAUUAACAAUGUGUUUGAAUAAUUGAACUUGGGAAUGAACUCAAUUAUGUGACUUUUUUUUGACAAAAACAUAAAAAACCGUGGGAACGAAAGCUUCUUCUUCUUUUUCUUACCAGGCUUGCUCGGUGGGAACGGACUGGUUUCAGAGUUAUCUUCUGUUCCAUAUGAUUCAGUUGGGCUGUAGACCUCAGGUGAUUGGGCCAACUUACUUAAGAUAAAUCUUCAAUGAAAGAAAAAUAAAAAUAAAUUUCCUAGUAACCACGUAUAACGUUAACAAAAAUAAAUCUAUGAGUAAUGAUAUUUUUGUAAUUAUUAUUUUUGAUAACAAAGAAUUCAAGAAUAUAAUAGGUAUAAAAUUUAAACUAGUAAUUAAAAUAAAAUAAAAGUCAUUAUAGUAAUAAACUAAUGAAUUAGGGUUAAACUAGCUUUUUCCCUAAUUAUUAUUAUUAUUAUUUUUCGAAAACAAAAUACAUAGAGCACUUGUAAAGGUUCUGCUCUUUCCGAUCAAUCCAAAUAAUAAUCGAAAGCGAUAUUUCAAGUUUUCAACAUUAAUAAACGUGCCACGUCCGUUUAUAUUUUUAGACAAGUUUUUGGAAAAGGCAACUAAAUAUAAAUAAAAUAAAACUUGAUAAAAAAGGAGUCGAAUAUCCCCUGUGGAUCCUCUGCUGGAUAAUUAUAAAAUCAAUGUCUGUCACUUCUAGACAAGUCAUUUAAUUUUCCAGACCGGUAAGUCCAAAGCACGUUCUUGGUCUCGGAUUCAGAAAAGAAAAGAGAGAGAGAAGAUGAGUUCAAGAUCUGACCUCACAAUCAUGCGUGUCUGCUUCAUAAUCUUCUUGCUUGGAGUUCUUGUUGAGCUAUGUGAUGGAGGGAUUACCAGUGAAUAUGUCAGAGGAAGUGAUUUACCAGACGACAUGCCAUUAGACAGCGAUGUCUUUAAAGUUCCUCCCGGUCGUAACACUCCCCAACAGGUUCACAUAACGCAAGGUAACCAUGAAGGCAAUGGAGUGAUUAUUUCAUGGGUGACUCCUUCUGCGCCCUGUUCUAACACAGUUCGCUAUUGGUCUGAGAAUGGAAAAUCGAAGAAGCUAGCAGAAGCAACCAUGAACACCUACCGUUUCUUCAAUUAUACAUCUGGUUACAUCCACCACUGCCUCAUUGAUGAUUUGGAAGUAAGUCUUUCCAACAAUUUAUUUGUUGUAUUUAGUUGCAGGUUUUUAUUUAAGUGCCUCGGUGUUAAUACCAGCGAGAAGUAGUGAUAGAGAGAAUAAACAUUCAAAGAAUAACUGAAUAAAUUUAGUUAUUGGUUAAUAUAAUUGCAUCUUCUUUUUAUUUUGAGUGAUAUAAUAUAAUUGCAUCUUAUGUUUAAUUUUCUCUAUUUAUUAAGUCUGAAAAAAAUCAUUUUAUUGCAGUUUGAUAUGAAAUACUACUAUGAAAUUGGGAGUGGUAAAUGGCGAAGGCGAUUCUGGUUCUUUACUCCGCCUAAACCUGGUCCUGACGUACCUUACACCUUUGGCUUAAUAGGUAUCAACUUCUGUCUUUAGUAGAUUCAUAUUUUCUGUUGUGACCGUAGAUAUUUAAUUUAUUUCUAAUACAAUAUCCAGGGGAUCUAGGACAAACAUAUGAUUCAAAUCGAACGUUAAGUCAUUAUGAGAUGAAUCCGGGAAAAGGACAGGCGGUUUUGUUCCUAGGAGACUUGUCUUAUGCGGAUCUUUACCCUUUGCAUGACAACAACAGAUGGGAUACUUGGGGAAGAUUCGUUGAGAGAAGUGUUGCUUAUCAACCUUGGAUAUGGACUGCAGGAAACCACGAAAUCGACUAUGUUCCUGAAAUUGUAAGACUUUGAAUGAAUACCCUUGUUGGUUUCUCGAAAUGGAACUUGACAUUUUUUUGCUUUUGCAGGGUGAAACAGAACCAUUCAAGCCUUUUACGAAUCGGUAUCAUACGCCGUAUAAGGCAUCGGGAAGUAUCUCUCCAUUGUGGUAUUCCAUCAAGAGGGCUUCAGCUUAUAUUAUUGUUAUGUCUUGUUACUCAUCUUACGGUAAUAAUGACUAGAGAGAAGAAAAAUAAACUAUAUUAUUGGUUGGCUUUUCUUUAAAGACUUUUUUAAUCUGAUGGAUUAAUUAGGGGUGUACACUCCUCAGUACAAAUGGCUACGAAAGGAGUUCCAAAGAGUAAACCGAACAGAGACUCCAUGGCUUAUAGUCUUAGUACAUUGCCCCUUUUACCAUAGCUAUGAGCGUCAUUACAUGGAAGGUGAAACAAUGAGGGUCAUGUACGAGCCGUGGUUCGUCAAGUCCAAAGUCGAUGUCGUGUUUGCAGGCCAUGUUCAUGCCUAUGAGAGAUCGGUAAAAAAAUUAAAUUUAGUCCUCCCCAGUAGUAUUAAUCUACCCUUGUAUCUCCACUGCCCCCAAGUGAUCAUUAAGUACACUAACGCAGGAACGUGUUUCUAACAUUGCCUACAACAUUGUCAAUGGAUUGUGUGAGCCAAUAUCGGAUGAGUCGGCUCCGGUGUACAUAACCAUCGGGGACGGAGGAAACGCAGAAGGCUUGCUUACUGAGUAAUUUUUUACCAUAUUAGCUAGCUGUACAAAGACUUUCUAUGUUUCUGAUGAAUGACUUGGUUCUUCUUAUCGUAGGAUGAUGGAGCCACAGCCAAGCUACUCUGCCUUCCGAGAAGCUAGCUUUGGGCACGGGUUGCUGGAUAUCAAAAACAGGACUCAUGCCUACUUCAGCUGGAAUCGGAACGAAGAUGGGUCUUCCGAGGAAGCGGAUUCUGUGUGGUUGCUUAAUCGGUAUUGGGGAGCUCCAAAGAAUAUUUCGCUGGGUUUUGGUUGCCACCCGAACACAAAUUGAUCUAUGCUAAACGAUGGAACCAAAUGUGAGAGUUAUCAAGUUCUAUAACGUUUUCGUUUCGCAUGGUUGUCCUUUUAUAAACAAAUCACUAAGAAAGUAAGAAGAUGAUAUCUGCAAGAUAGUAAGUGCUAUAAUAAAAGAAAAGAUAGUAAAAGUGUAAUAAAAAGCCAAGCAAUGAUGAUAAAUAAAACUCGUUUGAAAUUUCAUAAUGAAGUUUCAUAAAACUUUAUUUAAUAGAACUUAUAAUUAUAAACUCGUC